rnacentral:rRNA from 1 species
AUUGAACGCUGGCGGCAUGCCUUACACAUGCAAGUCGAACGGCAGCACGGGAGCAAUCCUGGUGGCGAGUGGCGAACGGGUGAGUAAAGUAUCGGAACGUGCCCAGUCGUGGGGGAUAACGUAGCGAAAGUUACGCUAAUACCGCAUACGAUCUAUGGAAGAAAGCGGGGGAUCGCAAGACCUCGCGCGAUUGGAGCGGCCGAUAUCAGAUUAGGUAGUUGGUGGGGUAAAGGCUCACCAAGCCGACGAUCUGUAGCUGGUCCGAGAGGACGACCAGCCACACUGGGACUGAGACACGGCCCAGACUCCUACGGGAGGCAGCAGUGGGGAAUUUUGGACAAUGGGCGAAAGCCUGAUCCAGCCAUGCCGCGUGCAGGAUGAAGGCCUUCGGGUUGUAAACUGCUUUUGUACGGAACGAAAAGGUUUGGGCUAAUAAGCUGAGCUCAUGACGGUACCGUAAGAAUAAGCACCGGCUAACUACGUGCCAGCCGCCGCCGUAA